AACGAACGCUGGCGGCAUGCCUAACACAUGCAAGUCGAACGAGACCUUCGGGUCUAUUGGCGCACGGGUGCGUAACGCGUGGGAACCUGCCCUUAGGUUCGGAAUAACUCCCCGAAAGGGGUGCUAAUACCGGAUAAUGUCUUCGGACCAAAGAUUUAUCGCCUUUGGAUGGGCCCGCGUUGGAUUAGCUAGUUGGUAGGGUAAAAGCCUACCAAGGCGACGAUCCAUAGCUGGUCUGAGAGGAUGAUCAGCCACACUGGGACUGAGACACGGCCCAGACUCCUACGGGAUGCAGCAGUGGGUAAUAGUGGACAAUGGGCGAAAGCCUGAACCAGCAAUGCCGCGUGAGUGAUGAAGGCCUUAGGGUUGUAAAGCUCUUUUACCCGGGAUGAUAAUGACAGUACCGGGAGAAUAAGCCCCGGCUAACUCCGUG
rnacentral:rRNA from 1 species